CCUACGGGUGGCAGCAGUGAGGAAUAUUGGUCAAUGGGCGAAAGCCUGAACCAGCCAAGUAGCGUGCAGGAUGACGGCCCUACGGGUUGUAAACUGCUUUUAUACAGGAAUAACGCGCGUUACGUGUCGGUUUUUGCCUGUACCUUAUGAAUAAGGACCGGCUAAUUCCGUGCCAGCAGCCGCGGUAAUACGGAGGGUCCGGGCGUUAUCCGGAUUUAUUGGGUUUAAAGGGAGCGUAGUCCGGAUGUCAAGCUUGCUGUGAAAUGUUCGGGCUCAACCGUGGCAUUGCAGUUGGAACUGGCAGGCUUGAGUACGCGGGAGGCAGGCGGAAUUCGUGGUGUAGCGGUGAAAUGCUUAGAUAUCACGAAGAACCCCGAUUGCGAAGGCAGCCUGCUACAGCGGAACUGACGCUGAUGCUCGAAAGCGUGGGUAUCGAACAGGAUUAGAUACCCGUGUAGUC
rnacentral:rRNA from 1 species